UUGUCCAAAAAAUUUUUACUUAAACAAAAUAAACUAUUACUAAUUCUAAAAUAAUGGCGCCGUUAUUCAAUAUUUUCCCGUCCUGCUGUAAGGUUUUUUACAUCUGAUCUUUUGUCCCCAUCACUUUUCAACACAAACUGACGCCCCUGAUGUUACCGCUCACAAUGCUGUACAUAAAUGUAUAUGAACAUAACAGAUUGUAUUUAUUCAAUAUGCUGUCUGUCACUAGUAGCACCUUUCACCACAUAACAUUCAGAGUAUGUGUAAAUGUAAUAAGCAAACGAAGGCGCUGCCGAUUUUGGUGGAUUCCUUUCCUCUGGGUGGCCAGUACAAACACGCACAGACUCACUACUUAUAAGGCACGCUGGCUUCCCCUUUAUUUUCACAUGCCCGCUCGGGACGGAGACUUCCUUCUCAGGAUAGGAUGCACCAAUUCUCUGGGAAUUAAGCACUUUUCAAACACAGGGCACGAUGACUGCAAUGACGUAGCAACAUUCUACUGAAAACAAUGGCCGUUUAUCAUUCCGCGUUUUUGUCCGUGCUUGUGUUCUUGUAAACUCGUUUGACGUCAUCUUUCAUUGCCCAAGUACGGUUCCAAUCCAAAGAACGCAAGUUACCAAAACGACCGGAUGGUUUACUUGAUUCGACUCUUUUAUCGAGAACGCUUAUGAUAUCCUAGAAUUCAUUUCAAGAUGUCAGGAGAGCAGGAAAAGCAUACGGUUGCGCAAUAGCCAAAUACACAUGCCUCUCAAUCUAGGUAGGUGCGUUCUCUGUCCUCGCGUUCUUGCAAGACCAUACUCUUAAGGACGCUUGGCAAGAACGUUCUACUGAACGUACGUUCUUAGCGUACUUUGAAUUGAUAAACGGCCAAUAUUUAUUCUCCCUGGUGGAAUUAAGAAAGGUCAUAGAGAUGAAUCCCAGCAGAGGCUUUUGUUUUUCCCAUUCAAUAGUACAUGGAGGAAUUGUGGGGAAACAAUGAAAACCAGUAAUAAAACGAAGUAUCAUAUAAUGAAAAACAGUAAAUUAUAAACCGUUCACCGUUAGGCAUGGUUAACUGGCCCAUUAAACCACUCUUGACAGAAAAUGUUUUGUCGCCAGUGCUUCCAACUACUGCCGUGUGACAGAGACUCGGGAGAUAGCACCAGAAUCAUUUGUCAAUGAAUAAUUAUCAGUGUCCUCAUCCCUCUUUUGGAGUCCAGCUAGCAUAAAGACCAGUUUAUCUCAGUAGAUUUGUUCGUGAAUAGACACUUUUCUCCCAUUUCAUUCCAACUACCCUGGACAUUUGUUUCCAUCUCUUACAAGUGGGAAACUUAACCCCAUCAGAAACUUAACCCCAAGUAGCUUUCCAUGGAACCUGUCCCCCGGAUGGCCUGGAGAUGUGUGUCUGUGUGAGGACUGGUGCAGUGGAGCCCCAACGGCCGGCUGUGUGAAAACGGCGCCACCUGUUGCCCAGUCUGGAACAGCUUGUGCUAUCUCGACAUUAUCGGAGUGUGUAUAGACUGCGCACACUGUUUUGUCCCCUCUAGGCCCCCUAAAACUCAUCCCCGCCCGGUAAAGCUCACAUAUGACAUCAGUUUGACAGGCCCAUACAUUUUUUGUCUAUUAAACAGAUUACAGGAUCAGAUAGAAUAGAUAUUUUGUCAUCUACAUUGUGGCCUGACAGGACAGAAAUAAGCUGUUCUUUGAGAUAGGGUGAGAAUUCUGCCCUGUCAAAGACACUGAUCUAGAUCAUUUGUAUUUGACCAUAAUCAAGUUCAUGACUAUGACUGAAAGACACAUCUCCCCCUAGACCGCUGGUCCUUGGGGAAACUGUAGAGCGUGAAUUAGGACUGGAACAGAGUACGACUUCACCUGGAAGAGUCAGGUGAGGCUCAUCCUUGUCAAAAUUGGCGUGACAAUUUUGACAAGAAUUGUCUGUUGGAUUUUGCACGAUUGUCCUCUUCACAGCACCCCUGGUGUGUUCAGAGCACAGCCAGGGCCAGGAUGGAGAACCGCGAGUCCUUUGCAUUCUUCCACUCCCACAGUCCAAACAGACAACGUUUAGGGGUCCUUUAGAUGAACGAGUCUCCAGACUGCCUCCUCAUCACCAGACUGCCUCCUCAUCACCAGAAUGCCUCCUCAUCACCAGACUGCCUCCUCAUCACCAGAAUGCCUCCUCAUCACCAGAAUGCCUCCUCAUCACCAGAAUGCCUCCUUGUGGGCAAUGUCUGCAUUUAUCCUCUUCUUGUUUUUAACAUUUAUUUUGCCAGAUAGGUGUGCAAAGAACACAUUCUUACUUACAGCAACGACCUGGGAGCAAACAGAGUUAACUGUUUCCUUCAGGAACCGAACAGAAUAGUUUUUCACCUUGUUGGUUCCAGGAUGCAGAAAAAACUUUCCAUGUCAAAAAAGUAUUUCAAUACAGAACGCCAAUGAUUAUAAAAUUCAAUUUCUGACAGAAACCGGGCACUCUCAAUACACAAUCACUCAAAAUAAAUAAAAAGAUCAACAUUCAUGACACAAAAACACAAAAAUCCCUCUUCAAUUCAUUGGGCAUUCAUACAGUUUGAGUCAUUCAGCACCAAACAGAUAAACACUGAAUGAUACAGGUGGCAUCUUCCAGUUGCAUUGUGUGGCCAAAUGAACAGGACCCAGUCAAACUGGCCUGGUCCAUUAGUCAGGCUCCAUGUCCAGAACCAAAGACGGGAACUGUACCCCUCCCUCUGUGAGCAGGGAGUAAAUGUCCCGGAGCGCAGUGGGGUUGGGAGGUCCAGGGGAGGACAGCGUAACCAUAGUAUCAGACAAAGCCUGUCAGAGGAACAGAACAUUAACAAGCAGAACCCAAACAUCUAUAUAUUGACAUUAACACACAUCACAACACACGUCUUACAUUUGGUGGUAGUGGUACCUCCUACCUGUUACAGGUGUGUGUGAGAGACAGGUGGUGGUAUCUCCUACCUGUUACAGGUGUGUGUGAGAGACAGGUGGUGGUAUCUCCUACCUGUUACAGGUGUGUGUGAGAGACAGGUGAUGGUGCCUCCUACCUGUUACAGGUGUGUGUGAGAGACAGGUGAUGGUGCCUCCUACCUGUUACAGGUGUGUGUGAGAGACAGGUGGUGGUAUCUCCUACAUGUUACAGGUGUGUGUGAGAGACAGGUGGUGGUAUCUCCUACCUGUUACAGGUGUGUGUGAGAGACAGGUGAUGGUGCCUCCUACCUGUUACAGGUGUGUGUGUGAGACAGGUGAUGGUGCCUCCUACCUGUUACAGGUGUGUGUGUGAGAGACAGGUGAUGGUGCCUCCUACCUGUUACAGGUCUGUGCGAGAGACAGUGAGGGUGUCUCUUACCUGUUGCAGUUGCACCUCCUGCUGCAUCAGUUCCACCCGUAGCCUUAGCCUCUCCACCUCCUGAAGCUCUGCCUGAGAGGUGUAGAUGAGGGUUGGGGGGAGUAGGGUCAGUCCACAUGGGUCCCCCCACCCGCCUCUUCUCCUGACGGUGCAGAACUCUCCAACCCCUUCCGGCCUCCUCCAGUGAUCCCAUGCCUCUGACUCU
ensembl:lncRNA